rnacentral:rRNA from 1 species
GGUUAAGUUAGAAAGGGCGCACGGUGGAUGCCUUGGCACUAGGAGCCGAUGAAGGACGGGACGAACACCGAUAUGCUUCGGGGAGCUGUAAGCAAGCUUUGAUCCGGAGAUUUCCGAAUGGGGAAACCCACCACUCGUAAUGGAGUGGUAUCCAUAUCUGAAUACAUAGGAUAUGAGAAGGCAGACCCGGGGAACUGAAACAUCUAAGUACCCGGAGGAAGAGAAAGCAAAUGCGAUUCCCUGAGUAGCGGCGAGCGAAACGGGACCAGCCCAAACCAAGAGGCUUGCCUCUUGGGGUUGUAGGACACUCUGUACGGAGUUACAAAGGAACGAGGUAGAUGAAGAGGUCUGGAAAGGCCCGCCAUAGGAGGUAACAGCCCUGUAGUCAAAACUUCGUUCUCUCCUGAGUGGAUCCUGAGUACGGCGGAACACGUGAAAUUCCGUCGGAAUCCGGGAGGACCAUCUCCCAAGGCUAAAUACUCCCUAGUGACCGAUAGUGAACCAGUACCGUGAGGGAAAGGUGAAAAGCACCCCGGAAGGGGAGUGAAAGAGAUCCUGAAACCGUGUGCCUACAAGUAGUCAGAGCCCGUUAACGGGUGAUGGCGUGCCUUUUGUAGAAUGAACCGGCGAGUUACGAUCCCGUGCAAGGUUAAGCAGAAGAUGCGGAGCCGCAGCGAAAGCGAGUCUGAAUAGGGCGAAUUGAGUACGUGGUCGUAGACCCGAAACCAGGUGAUCUACCCAUGUCCAGGGUGAAGUUCAGGUAACACUGAAUGGAGGCCCGAACCCACGCACGUUGAAAAGUGCGGGGAUGAGGUGUGGGUAGGGGUGAAAUGCCAAUCGAACCUGGAGAUAGCUGGUUCUCUCCGAAAUAGCUUUAGGGCUAGCCUCAAGGUAAGAGUCUCGGAGGUAGAGCACUGAUUGGACUAGGGGCCCCUACCGGGUUACCGAAUUCAGUCAAACUCCGAAUGCCGAUGACUUAUCCUUGGGAGUCAGACUGCGAGUGAUAAGAUCCGUAGUCGAAAGGGAAACAGCCCAGACCGCCAGCUAAGGUCCCAAAGUAUACGUUAAGUGGAAAAGGAUGUGGAGUUGCUUAGACAACCAGGAUGUUGGCUUAGAAGCAGCCACCAUUUAAAGAGUGCGUAAUAGCUCACUGGUCGAGUGACUCUGCGCCGAAAAUGUACCGGGGCUAAACGUAUCACCGAAGCUGCGGACUGUUCUUCGAACAGUGGUAGGAGAGCGUUCUAAGGGCUGUGAAGCAAGACCGGAAGGACUUGUGGAGCGCUUAGAAGUGAGAAUGCCGGUAUGAGUAGCGAAAGAGGGGUGAGAAUCCCCUCCACCGAAUGCCUAAGGUUUCCUGAGGAAGGCUCGUCCGCUCAGGGUUAGUCGGGACCUAAGCCGAGGCCGAAAGGCGUAGGCGAUGGAUAACAGGUUGAUAUUCCUGUACCACCUCCUCACCAUUUGAGCAAUGGGGGGACGCAGGAGGAUAGGGUAAGCGCGGUAUUGGAUAUCCGCGUCCAAGCAGUUAGGCUGGGAAAUAGGCAAAUCCGUUUCCCGUGAAGGCUGAGCUGUGAUGGCGAGCGAAUUAUAGUAGCGAAGUUCCUGAUUCCACACUGCCAAGAAAAGCCUCUAGCGAGGUGAGAGGUGCCCGUACCGCAAACCGACACAGGUAGGCGAGGAGAGAAUCCUAAGGUGAUCGAGAGAACUCUCGUUAAGGAACUCGGCAAAAUGACCCCCGUAACUUCGGGAGAAGGGGUGCUCUGUUAGGGUGCAAGCCCGAGAGAGCCGCAGUGAAUAGGCCCAGGCGACUGUUUAGCAAAAACACAGGUCUCUGCGAAGCCGUAAGGCGAAGUAUAGGGGCUGACGCCUGCCCGGUGCUGGAAGGUUAAGAGGAGCGCUUAGCGUAAGCGAAGGUGCGAAUUGAAGCCCCAGUAAACGGCGGCCGUAACUAUAACGGUCCUAAGGUAGCGAAAUUCCUUGUCGGGUAAGUUCCGACCCGCACGAAAGGCGCAACGAUCUGGGCACUGUCUCAACGAGAGACUCGGUGAAAUUAUAGUACCUGUGAAGAUGCAGGUUACCCGCGACAGGACGGAAAGACCCCGUGGAGCUUUACUGCAGCCUGAUAUUGAAUGUUGGUACAGCUUGUACAGGAUAGGUAGGAGCCUUGGAAACCGGAGCGCCAGCUUCGGUGGAGGCAUCGGUGGGAUACUACCCUGGCUGUAUUGACCUUCUAACCCGCCGCCCUUAUCGGGCGGGGAGACAGUGUCAGGUGGGCAGUUUGACUGGGGCGGUCGCCUCCUAAAAGGUAACGGAGGCGCCCAAAGGUUCCCCUCAGAAUGGUUGGAAAUCAUUCGCAGAGUGUAAAGGCACAAGGGAGCUUGACUGCGAGACCUACAAGUCGAGCAGGGACGAAAGUCGGGCUUAGUGAUCCGGUGGUUCCGCAUGGAAGGGCCAUCGCUCAACGGAUAAAAGCUACCCCGGGGAUAACAGGCUUAUCUCCCCCCAAGAGUCCACAUCGACGGGGAGGUUUGGCACCUCGAUGUCGGCUCAUCGCAUCCUGGGGCUGUAGUCGGUCCCAAGGGUUGGGCUGUUCGCCCAUUAAAGCGGUACGCGAGCUGGGUUCAGAACGUCGUGAGACAGUUCGGUCCCUAUCCGUCGCGGGCGCAGGAAAUUUGAGAGGAGCUGUCCUUAGUACGAGAGGACCGGGAUGGACGCACCGCUGGUGUACCAGUUGUUCUGCCAAGGGCAUCGCUGGGUAGCUAUGUGCGGACGGGAUAAGUGCUGAAAGCAUCUAAGCAUGAAGCCCCCCUCAAGAUGAGAUUUCCCAUUCCGCAAGGAAGUAAGAUCCCUGAAAGAUGAUCAGGUUGAUAGGUCUGAGGUGGAAGUGUGGCGACACAUGGAGCUGACAGAUACUAAUCGAUCGAGGACUUAACCAA